GCCUGGGUGGCUCAGUCGGUUGAGCAUCUGACUUUGGCUCAGGUCGUGAUCUCGCAGUCUGUGAGUUCGAGCCCCGCGGCGGGCU
rnacentral:tRNA from 1 species